AAAUGGCCAGCUCUGGGUGCAGUGCUGCCCAGCAGAGGGAACGGACUCACCUCCUCGUUCUUGUACAGCCACACCUUGUCCCCACGGAUGGACACAUAGACCUUAUUCCGGGAAGCCCGCAGCUCCAGGUCCGGUUGGACGUGACGACCUCGAACUUCUGCUCACCGACGUAGGAGACCCGAGUGAUGGAUCUGACGGAGAUAACUCGCUUGGAGUAAACUUCCUGCAGGAUGCUGCUCGACCCGCUGAGUUCCUCCAGCAGAUGGUUUGUUGCUCCAGAUUCCAGCAUCUGCAGUCUCUUCUAUCUUGUGCCCCAUAAGCUGAGAUGGUGACACCCCUCACCCUUGACUCUCCAGCUAAGGGGAGCACCUAGCCUGUCUAACCCUGUCAGAGGUUUUCAAGUUCAAAUGAGAUCCCUUCAGAAGCCUGAAGUCCCACACCACCAGGUUCAGGAACAGCUACUUCCACUUCAACCAUUCGGUUCUUGAACCAACCGGCACAAUCCUAAUCACUACAGUUUGGCAACACUAUGACCACUUUCCACUAAAAUUGACUUUUUUUUGUUCUAAUUGUGUUCUUUCUUGUAAAAAUUGUGUGUAAUUUGUUUUUUGUGAAUGCUGCUUAUCUGAUGCUCUGUGCCUGUGAUGCUGCUGCAAGUAAGUUUUUCAUUGCACCUGUGCACACAUGGACUUGUGCACGUGACAAUAAACUCGACUUUGACCUUCUCAUUCUCCACUGGAAACAAACCCAAAUAGCUUCACCUGCAGGAACAGCAGAAGCUGUGGUGAAACUGAGCAAGAGGCACUGGAGAUCAUCUUUGAAAUGAAAACGUUUCAUCAAUUGCCUCUCCAGUCAAAGAGUCACUCGGAGUACUGUGUGCAGUUCUGGGCUCCUUAUUUAAGAAAGGAUGUGCUGACGUUGGAGAGGGUUCAGAGAAGAUUCACUGGAAUGAUUCCAGGAAUGAGAGGGUUAACAUAUGAGGAACGUUUGACGGCUCUUGGGCUGUACUCCUUGGAGUUCAGAAGAAUGAGGGGGGACCUCACAGAAACAUAUCAAAUGUUAAAAGGCCUGAACAGAGUAGAUGUGGCAAAGUUGUUUCCCAUGGUAGGGGAGUCUAGUACAAGAGGGCACGACAUCAGGAUUGAAGGGCGCCCAUUCAGAGCAGAGAUGUGGAGAAAUUUCUUUAGCCAGAGAGUGGUGAAUCUGCAGAAUUUGUUGCCACGGGCGGCUGUGGAGGCAAAGUCAUUGGGUGUAUUUAAGGCAGAGAUUGAUAGGUAUCUGAGUAGCCAGGGCAUCAAAGGUUAUGGUGAGAAGGCGGGGGAGUGGGGCUAAAUGGGAUAAUGGAUCAGCUCAUGAUAGAAUGGCAGAGCAGACUCGAUGGGCUGAAUGGCCGACUUCUGCUCUUUUGUCUUAUGGUCUAAAGCCAACAACCUUUUAUCUGCACCUCUUAGUCUUGUUCACAGUACUGAUACUAGUGUGUCAAGAAUGAAACGGCAGGUCGUUCACUGAUCUCAGUAUCAUUACACGAUCAAAUGCAGAAGUCUGAAAUAAAGUGCGAGUGCAGUAGUUUUUUCACAUUUACUGGAAGGGAACUCAGUCACAGGGUGUGCUGCAGCAACAAAUGCAGAAGUUUGAAAUUAAAUGUGAGUGCUGAUGGUUUUCACAAUUACUGGAAGAGAAUCCACACACAGGGAGUGCAAGUACGAUCUGCACGUCGCAGAUAGAAGCUGCUACCCUUCCUGUUACAGUAAUGGAACCCUCACCCGACCACUGCAGCACCCCCUCUGCAUCACUGUGGACCACAGUCCUUAAACAACCAGCAACUGUCCAAAUGGGUCCCAAGCCACGAAAGGGACAGUUCAGUAACUGCAGAUCACACUAAGGACCCAGUUGCAAUGGGAGGAUGGGCUCGACCACAGUUCUUGCAUUCCCAUAUUUUGGGAAGUAUCUUGACCUCCAACGUGCCUCACCCCAGUCACCAUCUCCUCUUACCCCGAGUCACAGCAUCCCCCGUCAUUGCCCAAUGCCCCCACAUCUAGCCCCUGCUAAAUACCAACCUGAACCGGCCUGUGCAACCUUAAUCCUCCCUCAGCAACAUUCAGAGCUACCAUCGGGCAGGAGGUACAGGAGCCUGAAGUCCCACACCACCUGGUUCAAGAACAGUGACUUUCCUAUAACCAUCAGGUUCUUGAUCCGACCUGCACAACCCUAACCCUACCUCAGCAACGGGACACUACAGACCACCUCUUGCACUACCGUGGACUUGCCACUGAUUAUUUUUUGUACUAAUGUUUUUUGUACUAAUAAGGGAAGCACGGUAGUGUAGCAGUUAGCGUAACGCUAUUACAGCACCAGCGACCCGGGUUCAAUUCCAGCCGCUGUCUGUAAGGAGUUUGUACGUUCCCCCCGUGUCUCCGUGGGUUUCCUCCGGGUGCUCUGGUUUCCUCCCACAUUCCAAAGACGUAUGGGUUAGGAAGUUGUGGGCAUGCUAUGUUGGUGCCAGAAGACUGGCAACACUUGCGGGCUGCCCCCAGAACACUCUACGCAAAAGAUGCAUUUCACUGUGU